UACGGAGGGGGCUAGCGUUGUCCGGAAUUAUUGGGCGUAAAGAGCUCGUAGGCGGUUUGUCGCGUCUGCUGUGAAAACUCGGGGCUUAACCCCGGGCCUGCAGUGGGUACGGGCAGACUAGAGUGCGGUAGGGGAGACUGGAAUUCCUGGUGUAGCGGUGAAAUGCGCAGAUAUCAGGAGGAACACCGGUGGCGAAGGCGGGUCUCUGGGCCGUAACUGACGCUGAGGAGCGAAAGCGUGGGGAGCGAACAGG
rnacentral:rRNA from 1 species